rnacentral:rRNA from 1 species
CCCUUAGAUGUUCUGGGCCGCACGCGCGCUACACUGAUGCGUUCAACGAGUAUACAACCUUGAUCGAUAGGUCUGGGUAAUCUUGUGAAUGCGCAUCGUGCUAGGGAUAGAUUGUUGCAAUUUUCAAUCUUGAACGAGGAAUUCCUAGUAAACGCAAGUCAUCAGCUUGCAUUGAUUACGUCCCUGCCCUUUGUACACACCGCCCGUCGCACCUACCGAUUGAAUGCUCAGGUGAGCCAUUCGGACCUUCAUCAUGCCGGUUUCCGGUUUUGAUGAGGGAAAGUCUUGCGAACCUUAUCAUUUAGAGGAAGGAGAAGUCGUAACA